ensembl:lncRNA
AUAUAUCGCCCAGCCCUAGUUUGAACUUAAAAACAUCUUGAUGGAUUUGUUUCUUACAAACAUGCAUUUUUCACUUCACAAGAUGUUAAUUGAUGUACUAGAGUGGUGUGGAUUUUUUAUUUAUUUUGGAGUUUAUCAUCUGUUUGGACUGUCAUUCUGACGGCACCCAUUCACUGCAGAGGAACCAUUGGUUAACUUGGACGGCUCACAUGUGAAGUUGUGAAGGAGGUCAAGAUGACGGAAAUCAACAAUGUCAGAUCAUCUUGAGAAUCCGGUAGAGUCAGACCAACUGCAGAACGAGUCCUCGCCAGUUCUCUCAGCCACCCUCCCUUUCCUCGUUCUCAUUUCAUUGCCAGGUAGCUCAUGGCACGGCAUGAUGCUGUGUAAGCUCCAUCUGUUUGGCGCGCGGCUGGUGACAAACUGCGAGAGAGGAGGCCUAGUCAGUCGCUGUGGAUUGCAUUGCGGUGGAACCAAUCGGCACCUUCCCACAUGGCCCAAAGAGAAAGCCCCCCGGGAAACCCUUCAACACGGCCAGCCUACAACCCAGCACACAAUUUGUGCUCCACCAAAUAUGAAGCCAACUUUCUACCAACCCUGACUUCACCCUUGAUCAGUACAAAACAAAAAAUGAGGGCAGCAGAAAAUGAAAUAAAAAUGAAGGAUUUGAGAGAUCAAAGCGUUAAAAGAGUAGUUCAGCCAAAAAUAAUAAUAAAAAAAAGUCUGGUAUUAUUUACUCAUGUUGUCCCAAAUUCAACUGCUGUUAUUCAUUUAUUUAUUUAUGGAACAUACACAUAUAUAUAUUAUUUUGACAAAAUUAAUAGAAGGACUCCUAUCACAGAAAGAUACAAAACAAAUUUUUGAACAUUUAUGUUUUUGGUUCCUCGCUGGUUUAACAACCUUCCCAUCCUUAUCCAGGCAGCCGAAUCCCUCACAAUAUUCAAGAAAUGACUAAAAACUAAUCUUUUUACUGAGGGAACUUAAAUGCAUCCCACUGAUGUUUACUCUUUGUUGUACUCCUCAUUUGUUAGUCAGUUUAGAUAAAAGUGCC